GGCCUUGCGCUCUUUGAGCGGCCGAUGUCAGAUUAGCUAGUUGGUGAGGUAAAGGCUUACCAAGGCGACGAUCUGUAGCGGGUCUGAGAGGAUGAUCCGCCACACUGGAACUGAGACACGGUCCAGACUCCUACGGGAGGCAGCAGUGGGGAAUUUUGGACAAUGGGGGCAACCCUGAUCCAGCCAUGCCGCGUGAGUGAAGAAGGCCUUCGGGUUGUAAAGCUCUUUCGGCCGGGAAGAAAUCGCAUGGGCCAAUACCCUGUGUGGAUGACGGUACCGGAAUAAGAAGCACCGGCUAACUACGUGCCAGCAGCCGCGGUAAUACGUAGGGUGCGAGCGUUAAUCGGAAUUACUGGGCGUAAAGCGUGCGCAGGCGGUUUUGUAAGACAGGCGUGAAAUCCCCGGGCUUAACCUGGGAACUGCGUUUGUGACUGCAAGGCUAGAGUACGGCAGAGGGGGGUGGAAUUCCACGUGUAGCAGUGAAAUGCGUAGAGAUGUGGAGGAACACCAAUGGCGAAGGCAGCCCCCUGGGUCGAUACUGACGCUCAUGCACGAAAGCGUGGGUAGCAAACAGGAUUAGAUACCCUGGUAGUCCACGCCCUAAACUAUGUCAACUAGGUGUUGGGUGGGUAAAACCAUUUAGUACCGUAGCUAACGCGUGAAGUUGACCGCCUGGGGAGUACGGCCGCAAGGUUAAAACUCAAAGGAAUUGACGGGGACCCGCACAAGCGGUGGAUGAUGUGGAUUAAUUCGAUGCAACGCGAAAAACCUUACCUACCCUUGACAUGCCAGGAACUUGCCAGAGAUGGCUUGGUGCCCGAAAGGGAGCCUGGACACAGGUGCUGCAUGGCUGUCGUCAGCUCGUGUCGUGAGAUGUUGGGUUAAGUCCCGCAACGAGCGCAACCCUUGUCGUUAAUUGCCAUCAUUUAGUUGGGCACUUUAACGAGACUGCCGGUGACAAACCGGAGGAAGGUGGGGAUGACGUCAAGUCCUCAUGGCCCUUAUGGGUAGGGCUUCACACGUCAUACAAUGGUCGGUACAAAGGGUUGCCAAGCCGCGAGGCGGAGCCAAUCCCAGAAAGCCGAUCGUAGUCCGGAUUGCAGGCUGCAACUCGCCUGCAUGAAGUCGGAAUCGCUAGUAAUCGUGGAUCAGCAUGUCACGGUGAAUACGUUCCCGGGUCUUGUACACACCGCCCGUCACACCAUGGGAGCGGGUUCCGCCAGAAGUAGGUAGCCUAACCGCAAGGGGGGCGCUUACCACGGCGGGGUUCG
rnacentral:rRNA from 1 species